rnacentral:rRNA from 1 species
GCCAGCAGCCAUAUCAACCUGCAACUCACAACUGGCAACCUACUGAAGAUAAACUGGUGUGAGCCUGGCCAGUACUUGGAUGGGAAAUGGGAGUCCUUCUGGGAAAAACUAAGGAAGCUGCUGGAA